GGCGUGUCGGUAUUCUCGGACGCUUCAACCUCUCACAUCAUAUUCUAGGGUCGACAAGGAGGCCAAUCAGGUUCUAAUGAGUGUUUCCUAAGGUUCACGAUGCAGAAGAAGGGCCAAACUAUCACCAGGGUCAUAAAGCUACCCGUGGAAGUGCCCAGAACGUACUCUUAGGAAAGCCUUGUCAAAUAUGUGUACUUGGGCGGGAAAUAUUUAACAAUACGACCGCUGAGAUGGACUGAGGCUGUGGGGGCUGCUGCCGGUCUUGAUAAAUGACUGACAAGUUCACCGGUUUCAUGAGAAUUACAAGAAACGCUGAUUGAUAUAACAGUUUUUAAAAGAAGUACAAAUGAUUUAUUGGGAUUGAGGAAAGGAAAGAUGAAAGGAUAGAUAUAUUUAUUAGUUAUGGUUUUGUAUUUGAAUUGCCAGUGGAGGAUACUGAAUAGCAGCAACUCGAGAUAGCUGAAAAAAAAAAAAAGGGUUGUGCUUCGAACUGAACGAACUCGGCUUCGCCCGACUCGCCUUGUUUCUCUCAGCGUGAACACUUUCUAGAAGAGUGAGUCCAUACAACAUGAAAGUCCUCUUAAAUGGCGAGUCAUUGCGUUGAUAUCGUGUGACUCACAGGACUCAGCCUCAGUCGACUGUUUUUUUUUUUUAUCACUUCGGGUGGUUUGUCAGUAAGUCCAAAGCAAACAAUCGUCUUGAAUGGCGAGUCAUACGGGUCGAGACUUGUCCGGUGUGACACUACACCUUUAACUUACGUGUUCCAGGUCUCAGAUAAUCAUCCAGUCAAUUGUUGCCAAUAUGACAGUAACUGUAAUAUUCCUAAGUAAAGAAGUGGCACGUAAUUUUAGUACCUAAUUUAUUACACCAACCCUAGAAUAUGCAUAGACAGGGACAACCCGCCCCCUUUCCCAAUCAGAAGAAAUGGUAUCAGAUUCCGAUUCGACACUCAAGACUGCAUGCAAUCCGUGGAUCAUGGCCGAGACAUCUUUUGAGCAGCUCUGCAAUGAUGUUACAAACAUCUCUUGCCUUUCACCAUUUAACCCUCCACAGCCUCUCUGACCUCGUCAAGAAAGGGUGGGAUUUCAUGAAUGGGUGCACCAGCAGCCAAGGAUGAGAGACAAACAUAUGUCUCUCAUCCUUGCCAGCAGUCGCUAUGUAUAUGUAACCCAGCGGCUGGGAGCUGCCCACUCGGAGAGUUCGCCAUGUAGGUUGUUGUACAGUUGCUCUAAGUACUGAGCCAACAAGUCCUCUGCCUUACUUCUUAUGACUUACCUAAAAAAUUCCUUAGAAUCUAUCUGAUGCAUGGUUAACUCCUAGGAUCUAGCAUGAAAGGCCACUGAUGGGUAUGAUUUAUUGAAGUAAUUAGAAUCAAAUUACUUUAUCAAAACAGUUUCUCCCACUAAAAUGUAAUAUAAAUACUGAUAUCUGAGAAAUAAAGGAACACAUACCUACAUACUACGGUAUCUGACCUGCAACAGUGUGUCUGUGGUGGCUAUUCAGUCUGAUGGGAGCGUCCAUCAGCCCCUCCCAACACUGGCUCCCUCACAGCUCUGAUCUGGCCGUGCAGCCACAGCCGGGAGUUGUGCUAAGGCCUCAGGCUGGUGCUGAGCAGCAUGACACAGUAUGAAGAAUAAUAUACAGUACUAACAAUACACAACUUUUAAAUAAAAGUUUUGAUCAAUAAUAUAUGACAUCUUUGGAUUGUCUAAAGAAAUAUUUAAUUGUUGUAUCCCUAUAACUGCAAUGAAGAUGAUAUAAAUAUAUAUUUAUAUAUAUGUAUAUAUGAAUGAAUAUUUACAUACGUCAGUAUCUCAGUUAUCAGGCCUAGGAGUAAUGUUCAUUCCUGUCUCUUUGCAUAUCUGACACUGCCUGAACGGAGGUAUGACUUGCAGACUUAUGGGCUAACAAAUGAAAAACUCUUCAAACAAAAAAUGAAUGAUAACAAAGAUACUGAUGUAUAUACAAUGGAGGCACCAGCAGCAACAGUGAGGCACUAUGUGGCAAUAUUAGUAAAACUACUAUGAUUGUUCAGAAGGUAAGUCAUAAUUUUAUCUACCUUGUGAAAAAUUCAGUGACAUGUUCAACACAAUACAUAUAAUCUAGUGGUUACACUUUUCUCCACUCCAAACCUAAAUAUUAAGUAACUCAUGCAAUAUCCAGCAGUGUUCUGCCAACGGGAUGUUUGACCCCAGCCCACCCUGGUAACCACUACACAUUAUACAUUUCAGGGUUAUCAGCUUCUGCUUCAAGUUUCUCAUUAUUUACAAUUAUUACAACAUGUGAGGGAUUAAAAUAAGAAGAGCAACAUUACUAUAUAGCACCAAAGCUCAUUACCAGCUCUGCUCUCUCCUUUCCUUCCUCUCUUUGGUUCCUCAUCAAUACACUAGACAGUUACUAGAUAAUGACACGUUGGUGACUCUUGUGGUUUCGGAUUAAUCAAAGGACCUACAAUCAAAUAUAAAAUAGUUAUACAAAACAUGGUUUUCUAUACAUCUAUGUUGUGGUUGGUUGUAUGUACAAUCUAUUUAAAAAUAAAGUAGGUAAAUGUUUAAGAUGCUCAAGUAACAAACUUUUAUCUUUAAAUAAAAAUUGCAUAUAGUAAUUCUUCUUCUGGACCCACACAUGACUACCCUUGAGGCUAUAAAGAAAUAAACAUCGGUUCUUAUAAAAAAA